AUUGAACGCUGGCGGCAGGCCUAACACAUGCAAGUCGAACGAGUGGCGGACGGGUGAGUAAUGUAUGGGAAACUGCCCGAUGGAGGGGGAUAACUACUGGAAACGGUAGCUAAUACCGCAUACCAUCGGAUGUGCCCAGAUGGGAUUAGCUAGUAGGUGGGGUAACGGCUCACCUAGGCGACGAUCCCUAGCUGGUCUGAGAGGAUGACCAGCCACACUGGGACUGAGACACGGGCCAGACUCCUACGGGAGGAAGCAGUGGGGAAUAUUGCACAAUGGGCGCAAGCCUGAUGCAGCCAUGCCGCGUGUAGGAAGAAGGCCUUAGGGUUGUAAAGUACUUUCAGUGGGGAGGCGUUACCCGCAGAAGAAGCACCGGCUAACUCCGUGCCAGCAGCCGCGGUAAUUC
rnacentral:rRNA from 1 species